rnacentral:rRNA from 1 species
CUGUUCGUGCGCCUCAGGCGUAUGAGUGGCUAAGCGAAAGUGAUAAGUAUCCCACCUGGGGAGUACGUUCGCAAGAAUGAAACUCAAAGGAAUUGACGGGGGCCCGCACAAGCGGUGGAGCAUGUGGUUUAAUUCGAUGAUACGCGAGGAACCUUACCAAGGCUUAAAUGCAGAUUGACGGGUUUGGAAACAGACCUUUCUUCGGACAAUUUGCAAGGUGCUGCAUGGUUGUCGUCAGCUCGUGCCGUGAGGUGUCAGGUUAAGUCCUAUAACGAGCGCAACCCCUGUUGUUAGUUGCCAGCACAUAAAGGUGGGGACUCUAACAAGACUGCCGGUGCAAACCGUGAGGAAGGUGGGGAUGACGUCAAAUCAUCACGGCCCUUACGUCUUGGGCUACACACGUGCUACAAUGGUAGGAACAAUGAGCAGCCAUCACGCGAGUGAGCGCAAAUCUAAAAACCCUAUCACAGUUCGGAUCGUAGUCUGCAACUCGACUACGUGAAGCUGGAAUCGCUAGUAAUCGGAUAUCAGCCAUGAUCCGGUGAAUACGUUCCCGGGCCUUGUACACACCGCCCGUCAAGCCAUGGAAGCCGGGGGUACCUGAAGUCGGUCACCGCAAGGAGCUGCCUAGGGUAAAACUGGUAACUGGGGCUAAGUCGUAACAAGGUAGCCG